GUAGGUGGCAAGCGUUGUCCGGAAUUAUUGGGCGUAAAGCGCGCGCAGGCGGUUCUUUAAGUCUGAUGUGAAAGCCCACGGCUCAACCGUGGAGGGUCAUUGGAAACUGGAGAACUUGAGUACAGAAGAGGAAAGCGGAAUUCCACGUGUAGCGGUGAAAUGCGUAAAGAUGUGGAGGAACACCAGUGGCGAAGGCGGCUUUCUGGUCUGUAACUGACGCUGAGGCGCGAAAGCGUGGGGAGCAAACAGGAUUAGAUACCCUGGUAGUCCACGCCGUAAACGAUGAGUGCUAAGUGUUAGGGGGUUUCCGCCCCCCUUAGUGCUGCAGCUAACGCAUUAAGCACUCCGCCUGGGAUACGGCCGCAAGGCUG
rnacentral:rRNA from 1 species